rnacentral:rRNA from 1 species
UGGGGAAUUUUGGACAAUGGGCGAAAGCCUGAUCCAGCAAUGCCGCGUGCAGGAUGAAGGCCUUCGGGUUGUAAACUGCUUUUGUACGGAACGAAACGGUCUUUUCUAAUACAGAAGGCUAAUGACGGUACCGUAAGAAUAAGCACCGGCUAACUACGUGCCAGCAGCCGCGGUAAUACGUAGGGUGCAAGCGUUAAUCGGAAUUACUGGGCGUAAAGCGUGCGCAGGCGGUUAUGUAAGACAGUUGUGAAAUCCCCGGGNUCAACCUGGGAAUUGCAUCUGUGACUGCAUAGCUAGAGUACGGUAGAGCGGGCUGGCAAGGCGCAU